ACCUCCCGGCUGGGGCGGGGCGGGGCCGGCAGCGCCAUUACGUCACUUCGGGCGGGCACGGGGCGGGGCUGGCGGCGCCAUUACGUCACCCCGGGCGGGCGCGGGGCGGAGCCGGUAGCGCCCUUAAGUUAUCGGGGGCGGGCGCGAGCGAGGCAGGGCUGCGCGGCCGGAGUGGACGCAGCUGUUCGGGAUGAGGAGGCGGCGGCGCAGAGACGACGCUCCGGAGCUGAAGAGACGCAGCGCCGAUCCCCGGGAUGGCUCAGCCGGAGGGCGAGAUGGGGGGUCGCGGGAAGGAGCCAAGGAGUGGAAGACGACAAUGAGCAGCAUCCGACAGGAGAUGACCGUGAUGGUGGACUCGACAGACAAGAGCUAUGUCGAGCAAGGUGCAAACUGCGGCUAGAUGUUCUCGUUCAUGGACACGCACAAUCUGAACGGGAGAGGUGGGUCAGCCGAGCUCAGCUAAUACCUUCCCACACCGGCAUCUGUGAUCCAGGUACAAGGCAUUAUUUUAGGACGCUGAGAAUUAGGUUGAUUAUAUGAAGUACAAAAGGAGUGGGGAGUAUGUGCCUGGUGAUCUCAGGGACCCAAAGUAAAUGCUGUGAUGUGUGCCUGACUGUGGUUCACAGUUCUUCUGGCUUCAAGGUCAGAGGUUUCUUUACCAUGUGAAAUCCAUGUCCGCAAUCUUCCACUUACCCUGGCCGCAUAAUCAAGAUCUUGGUCAGCGUGGGGAUGGAAUAAAAGUGUAAUUACUAAUACA
rnacentral:lncRNA from 1 species